UGAUAUAGUCCGACAAUUAACUAAUUUGUCAAAUUAUUUUUGGGUUUAAGUAAUAAGGCAAAAAAAAAAGUUAAUUUGUUGAAUAAUGAUAUUACUUUACUAUUAGUGUUGUCCAAAUCUGGUGCCAGAAGACUCGGUAAUGCCAGAGACGCAAGCGUUAGUCAUCUUGAUCAGGCGUAAAGGGUUUGUAGGCUGCUUUAAAAAAAAUUAAAGCUAGAAUCAUAUAGAGGUCACUGUCAGAGAAUACUUAGAGUAGGGUUGAUAUCUUUAGAUACUAAGUGGAAUUCUAACUAGCGAAAGCUCUUUUCCAAUUAAUGAUUGACGCUGAGAAACGAAGGGGAGGAUAGACAAUAGGAUUUGAUACCCUGGCAUCCCUCUCUGUCAACGAUGAAUGGUAGUUGCUAGUUCAAGAAGCUAGUGGCGCAUGUUAACACGUUAACCAUUCCGCCUUGUGAGU
rnacentral:rRNA from 1 species